rnacentral:rRNA from 1 species
CGGGGUGCAGCAGGCGCGAAAACUUUACAAUGCUGGCAACAGCGAUAAGGGGACCUCGAGUGCCAGGAUACAAUCUUGGCUGUCGCGAUGCCUAAAAAGCAUUGCAUAGCAAGGGCCGGGCAAGACCGGUGCCAGCCGCCGCGGUAACACCGGCGGCUCGAGUGGUAACCGCUAUUAUUGGGUCUAAAGGGUCUGUAGCCGGCCGGAUAAGUCUUUUGGGAAAUCCAGCUGCUCAACAGUUGGGCUUUCAGAAGAUACUGUUCGGCUUGAGACCGGGAGAGGUGAGAGGUACUUCAGGGGUAGGGGUGAAAUCUUGUAAUCCUUGAAGGACCACCAGUGGCGAAGGCGUCUCACCAGAACGGAUCUGACGGCAAGGGACGAAAGCUAGGGGCACGAACCGGAUUAGAUACCCGGGUAGUCCUAGCCGUAAACGAUACUCGCUAGGUGUCAGCCACGGUGCGACCGUGGUUGGUGCCGUAGGGAAGCCGUGAAGCGAGCCACCUGGGAAGUACGGCCGCAAGGCUGAAACUUAAAGGAAUUGGCGGGGGAGCACAAGGGCGAAUU